UCAAAACGCUUUUUCUAUUUCCGGCUCUGUGGUCACUCUAGAAUGAAUCAAGCACGAGCACAAAUCCAUUGGUUUCAUUUCUGAAGCGCGAGGUUCAAGUGUGACAUUUAGCGUCAUGCUAUUCUGCAGCAGAUGUCACUUUGUUUUGCUGUUACAGCUGCUGACAGUCAUAGCAGGCUCUUUUCCUUCAGUAAAGGUGAAUCUUCAUGAUGCUGC